rnacentral:lncRNA from 1 species
GCAGGCACUGAGGUGAUGCUGGGGUUGCAGUGAGCUGUUGAACUAGAUGUGUCAGAAAUGAGAAAGGAGAUGAGAGAACAAAUUAGAAUACAGAGUGAUCGACACUUUGAUGAAGGAAGUAGAUGGAGCCUGGGGUCCAUGAAACCCACUGCCAAACCAACCCAGACAGGAGCACUGAAGAGCAGAGAUGCAUUUCAGAAGGGACCACUCGG